rnacentral:rRNA from 1 species
AACGAACGCUGGCGGCAUGCCUAACACAUGCAAGUCGAACGAUUGCCUUCGGGUGAUAGUGGCGCACGGGUGCGUAACGCGUGGGAAUCUGCCCUUAGGUUCGGAAUAACAGCUGGAAACGGCUGCUAAUACCGGAUGAUAUCGCGAGAUCAAAGAUUUAUCGCCUGAGGAUGAGCCCGCGUUGGAUUAGGUAGUUGGUGGGGUAAAGGCCUACCAAGCCGACGAUCCAUAGCUGGUCUGAGAGGAUGAUCAGCCACACUGGGACUGAGACACGGCCCAGACUCCUACGGAAGGCAGCAGUGGGGAAUAUUGGACAAUGGGCGCAAGCCUGAGCCAGCAAUGCCGCGUGAGUGAUGAAGGCCCUAGGGUUGUAAAGCUCUUUUACCCGGGAAGAUAAUGACUGAACCGGGAGAAUAAGCCCCGGCUAACUCCGU